rnacentral:rRNA from 1 species
CAAGUCGAGCGGCAAGUUGGGUAGUAAUACUUGACCUAGAGCGGCGCACGGGUGCGUAACGCGUAUGCAACCUACCUUUUACUGGGGGAUAGCCCGGAGAAAUCUGGAUUAAUACCCCAUGGUACCUAUGAAUCGCCUGGUUUAUAGUUUAAAGAUUUAUCGGUAAGAGAUGGGCAUGCGUCUGAUUAGCUAGUUGGCGGGGUAACGGCCCACCAAGGCGACGAUCAGUAGGGGUUCUGAGAGGAAGGUCCCCCACACUGGCACUGAGAUACGGGCCAGACUCCUACGGGAGGCAGCAGUAGGGAAUAUUGGGCAAUGGUCGCAAGACUGACCCAGCCAUGCCGCGUGCAGGAAGACGGCCCUCUGGGUUGUAAACUGCUUUUAUCUGGGAAGAAAAAGUCCAUGCGUGGAAAAUUGCCGGUACCAGAUGAAUAAGCACCGGCUAACUCCGUGCCAGCAGCCGCGGUAAUACGGAGGGUGCAAGCGUUGUCCGGAUUUAUUGGGUUUAAAGGGUGCGUAGGCGGCUGAAUAAGUCAGCGGUGAAAGACUUCGGCUUAACCGGGGCAGUGCCGUUGAUACUGUUUGGCUUGAGUGUUGGAGGGGUACAUGGAAUUGAUGGUGUAGCGGUGAAAUGCAUAGAUACCAUCAGGAACACCGAUAGCGAAGGCAUUGUACUGGCCAACAACUGACGCUGAGGCACGAAAGUGUGGGGAUCGAACAGGAUUAGAUACCCUGGUAGUCCACACUGUAAACGAUGAUUACUCGCUGUUAUGGUGUAUGCUGUAGCGGCCAAGCGAAAGCGUUAAGUAAUCCACCUGGGGAGUACGCCGGCAACGGUGAAACUCAAAGGAAUUGACGG